GACGAACGCUGGCGGCGUGCCUAAUACAUGCAAGUCGAGCGAAGUGGAGAGAGCUUGCUCUCAAAGCUUAGCGGCGAACGGGUGAGUAACACGUGGGCAACCUGCCUGACAGACUGGGAUAACUUGGGGAAACUCAAGCUAAUACCGGAUAGGAUCGCGAACCGCAUGGAUUGCGAUGGAAAGUCUGAACGACACUGUCAGAUGGGCCCGCGGCGCAUUAGCUAGUUGGUGGGGUAAUGGCCUACCAAGGCGACGAGGCGUAGCCGACCUGGGAGGGUGACCGGCCACACUGGGACUGAGACACGGCCCAGACUCCUACGGGAGGCAGCAGUAGGGAAUCUUCCACAAUGGGCGAAAGCCUGAUGGAGCAACGCCGCGUGAGUGAUGAAGGUUUUCGGAUCGUAAAACUCUGUUGUUAGGGAAGAACACCCGGGAGAGGAUCCCGGUUUGACGGUACCUAACGAGGAAGCCCCGGCUAACUACGUGCCAGCCGCCGCGGUAACAC
rnacentral:rRNA from 1 species